CGUCUUUAGUGUAACGCAGUCGUAGGCGUUCCUGGUAGCGUUACGAAACAAAAUUAAUUUGUCAGCCUAAGGGGAACAGGCAUCGUCAAGACUCAGCUGACAAAGUACGAGCCCCUUUCGGGGGCUUCCCCGCUAAGGGCCAGGCAGGGGGCCGGUCGUGCGCCGCUGGGCGAGAGCGGCGCACUCGUCGAGCUCGUUAGGCGGCUGUCGGCUGUCCAAGCCCCGACCCUGGGGGCUCGGGUCAGGAGUCUCGGUUAGGAAAAGGGCUUCAAUGCCUAGGCAAAACGGCUGAAGGGAACGGAUGUAACAAGGUAACCGGUCUCCGACAACUGGAACCUCUGGUCUACGCAAAUACUCAUGCUGGCCCGCACUUGCCAUGAGCCAGGAGGCCUAAAAGUACCCGGCGGCCCACGCGUGGCCUGUGGCGCGCUGCACGCCACGAGAAGGCCGGUGACCUGGGAUGGAGGCCGACUUGGCAAAGGUCCCAACCGUCCGGCAAUUCGUCUUUUCUAUUGAGAAGGGCUCCGGGGGCGGCCGCAGAGGCCUGAAGGAUUGUAGCGGCAGUUGGCGGUGUAGGGCCGAGCCCUUUAGAAUUGGGCUAAGGGUAAGCCCCCUACGCGCACUAGCACGAUAGACGGCCCCAAUGGGGCAGGGAAUCCUAGCCGAAUGGGUACACGUUCACGGCAAGUGUACCUUGGAAAGAGGAGAAGCCGGAAGUUUCAAGAGUAAACUUAUAAACGAUGAUGGUGGUUCUAGACGUGGCUGCUGGCGAGGCGGGCCCGAGCGCGGGGCCCAAAACGUCGCCGGUGGAGCGGGAGGAUGAGUACCCCGUACCGCGAGCGGGUCUACCGGCCCACACCCAGUGCGCGAAGUCGCGGUAGGUAAAAGCCCCGAUCAACUAAGCCGUCCACUCAACAAUGUGUGAGGAAUCGCCUAAAGCUGAAGGUACUGGUAGCAGGACGACAGAAUUAGCUGGUUGUGGGAAAAAACCCAAGAUCCAAUCGCGCGUCAACCCGUGGCAUUGGGUCGAAGGCCAAGUAGGGCGUAGCGGUCAAGACGAAUGGUUUUACCGGGUGAACCUCGUGGGCUAAGGCACCGUGCCGAGUGGCUUCGUCGGCGCGGUAGGAUGGACAAAUUUCAAACUCUUAUCCAGCUACUGCAACGCAGGGGCUACGGAGAUUAGUAGCCGAAAUGGACUAUCUUGAACAUUACCCGAGGUCGAUAGGACUCCCUUUGAAGCCUCCCUUGGUCGAUGAUCUACCAAGCUAAUCAGAAAGCGGGGAUAUGGGUUCAGUCUGCUUGCUAAAGGUGCAGUCAUAGCGAAGCUCGGAGGUGGUCUUAAAGGAGACCGAAGCGGGGCGAAUCCGUAUCAAGUGGUAGA
rnacentral:rRNA from 1 species